ensembl:snoRNA SNORD57 small nucleolar RNA, C/D box 57
UGUAAGUGAUGAAAAAUCAUCUGCCUGACCUCACUGUGAGGGCGAAAGCUGAUUUAAUGAGCCUGAUGC